rnacentral:rRNA from 1 species
GAUGAACGCUGGCGGCGUGCCUAAUACAUGCCAGUCGAGCGAACAGAUGAGGAGCUUGCUCCUCUGACGUUAGCGGCGGGCGGGUGAGUAACACGUGGAUAACCUACCUAUAAGACUGGGAUAACUUCGGGAAACCGGAGCUAAUACCGGAUAAUAUAUUGAACCGCAUGGUUCAAUAGUGAAAGACGGUUUUGCUGUCACUUAUAGAUGGAUCCGCGCCGCAUUAGCUAGUUGGUAAGGUAACGGCUUACCAAGGCAACGAUGCGUAGCCGACCUGAGAGUGUGAUCGGCCACACUGGAACUGAGACACGGUCCAGACUCCUACGGGAGGCAGCAGAAGGGAAUCUUCCGCAAUGGGCGAAAGCCUGACGGAGCAACGCCGCGUGAGUGAUGAAGGUCUUCGGAUCGUAAAACUCUGUUAUUAGGGAAGAACAAAUGUGUAAGUAACUAUGCACGUCUUGACGGUACCUAAUCAGAAAGCCACGGCUAACUACGUG